GUGCUCAAAAAUAUAAAAAUGAAUUCAAAAGAAAAAAAUAUUCAGGAAACAAAUCACAAAAAAUGCCUCAACCUCAUAAAUAUAUUAGAAAAUUAUUUGGCAGAAAUUUCUAUACAUAGAGUAUCCUGCCUCUUAUCCAAAAACAGAACAAACAACUACUUUCCUUUACCUUAUAUCCUAAAUCUUAAUUUGUACAAUUAAAGUACAUCUGUUAUAAUUCGUUUAAAACUGGGCCACUACAUCAAAUAGGCACGAUUACUUUGUGUUACAUUAAACAAUACAUGAAACUCAUUCAAUAUAAUGUACUAAAGGUUAUUGAUCUAGGGAAAAACUGGUUAAUCAUACAGCUUCAAUGUUUGUUUUAGUUUCUGAAGGUUGUAUAUUCAUUUACUGGAAAAGCAAACUCUAAAAUGUUUGGAGUGUAAAGAAGGAAUUAUAUAAGAUUAGUUUUAUUUACUAAACAACUAAAAAUAAUUGAAUAACUGACCAGAAUAUUUUUUUAUUGCUGCAUCCUGGCUUCCAAUAUGGAAUAAUCUAUUUCAAGAUUUGAGGUUUCAAAAUAGCUUGCUGGAAAUCUAUAAAAUGUAGUACAUGUACAUGGACAUUAGAUUAAUCAAAAUAUCAAAGAAAUGGGAUGUUUUUUGGUUUAGAAAUUGAAAAUUAGACUAUCCUUGAAAUUUGAAUUUGCAAACAAACAUCUUUCCAUAAUGGACUGUGAGAUUUUUUUUUUUAAAUGUAAGGAUAUGAACAUUUGUUGUGUUAUACACAAAAUUACAAUAGGUGCAAUAAAUACCAAAUAUUAUAAUCCCUAUGACUAUCAGCUGAAAAAUAUGCACCAAUAAAACCCUUACAAAAUAUUAAGUAAAAAACCUCUUUCAUAAAUAAAAUGAAUAGUUAAUUAUAUACCCGUAUUCAGAAAUGAAAGAAACAAAUCUGCAAUGUUUUAAAUAUGUUUUGACUUUUAACAAACAAUAGAUAUCUUGUGGAAAAGACUUGUUUUAGUGUGACAUUUAAAUAAUUAUUACAAAAAAGAAACUUCUGAAAUUUUCAUAUGAGUGCAACAGAAAAAUCUGGCAUGAUGACAUAGUUCAUGUUAUAUACUAGGGAUAUGAUUCAAUAUUUCACCUGUGAUUAAGGCUUUUAACAUGGGUUAUUCAUUGGAUAUUCAUCCUUAUAAAUGGUCCAUAAUGACCCUCUGGGAACCAAUAUCCUGAAGGGAUCUAUUGAAUAUGUGAUCAAAACGAACAUUUUUUAAACAUUCUCCUAAAUUACAGAAAUCAAUGGUAUGAUUUGUUUUAUGAUUUUAAAUUCCAAACAUAUAAAACAUAAUUACUUCAUUAAAUCAUAAGAAAUCAACAGCGAAAUGUCUAGACAAUAAUACCAAUAAUACAAACUAUCUAAAACAAGCUAUAUAGAGUGCUCCCCAAAAUUCCAUCACUUCUUGUGCUUUUUACUAGUAUGCUAAUAGUUGUCACAACCACCAAGAAUGUGUAUAUACAUUUAACAGUGUAUAAAUGCAGAAAUAAAUAUAUCUGGCUAUUUUUACAUUAGUUACAAUAAGAUACACACAUCUUUUUUAAGCAAAGAAUUUCACAACACAAUUUUUUGAACAUUUGAAAUUCAGCUUAAAGAAUAUGACUGCAUAAAAAUGAUUUACAGUUCAAAC
rnacentral:lncRNA from 1 species